GUCUGGAAUACAGAUGAAUGAGAAGGUAAGUUUCAUCUUUGGUUAUUGAACAGGACAGGGGGUCUGGAAUACAGAUGAAUGAGAAGUUAAGUUUCAUCUUUGAUUACUGAACAGGACAGGGGGUCUGGAAUACAGAUGAAUGAGAAGGUAAGUUUCAUCUUUGGUUACUGAACAGGACAAGGGGUCUGGAAUACAGAUGAAUGAGAAGUUAAGUUUCAUCUUUGGUUACUGAACAGGACAAGGGGUCUGGAAUACAGAUGAAUGAGAAGGUAAGUUUCAUCUUUGGUUACUGAACAGGACAAGGGGUCUGGAAUACAGAUGAAUGAGAAGGUAAGUUUCAUCUUUGGUUAUUGAACAGGACAGGGGGUCUGGAAUACAGAUGAAUGAGAAGUUAAGUUUCAUCUUUGGUUACUGAACAGGACAAGGGGUCUGGAAUACAGAUGAAUGAGAAGGUAAGUUUCAUCUUUGGUUACUGAAC